rnacentral:tRNA from 1 species
GGGCGGUUCAGCAUGCAAUGGCACUGUGAAACCCGUUCCGACGCGGCAAUUUCGGACUUUUAAUCCCGUAGGUUGUGGGUUCGAGUCCCACGCGGCCCA